CUCCUUCAGGACACCCAUGAUUACGUGUGCCCACCAGAUGCUAAGGGAUUACAAAGAACGAAAGGAGGUUACAACUUAGCUAGACAGAAGAAAGGAAGAGUAUACAACACAGCGCAGUCUAGGUGAACAGAGCUGAAGAAGGGUGGUGUAGUAGUUCCUGUUCCUUUCCUGCCUCACUUCCUGGCCUCAAGUGAUCUACCUGCCUGGGCCUCCCAAAGUGCAGGAUUACAGCUGAUGACUCCCAGAAUGUCCUGACUGCAAGGAACAUGUACUAUGGACCCAUCAGAAGUGAGCUCAUUUUCUAAACAUCUGUGUUGCCAACAGGCACACACCUAAAGUUUCCUCCUAUGGCCACCUGUGGAUCACCCUGACCUUCAAAGCUGGUAGCCAAAGUUCUGCUUCCACCCCCACCAUCUGCAAGGUGGCACUUUUCAGUCUUGAUGGAUAAAUGUUAAAAAAUCACAAUCAACAAUUCCUAAUCAUCCCUAUGAUUUUCAAAGGAAAACGCUACUGUAUUGUCAAACUUUUUCUCUACAGGCUAAAAUAAAAAUAAAUGACUACUGAAAAAA
rnacentral:antisense_RNA from 1 species